AUGUAUUGUAAUUCCUACAAUGUUAAUGCACCAGAUCCCAUUAGAACUCCAUAGUUAAGUGCGCUUGGGAUAGAGUAGUAUUGGGAUGGUUGACCUCCUGGGAAUUCCUAAUGUUUUACAUG
rfam:Picea glauca, whole genome shotgun sequence.